rfam:Triticum aestivum genome assembly, contig: Triticum_aestivum_CS42_TGACv1_scaffold_220654_3B
UUAUUACUCCCUCCGUCCCGAAAUAAGUGACUCAAAAAUGACUCAACUUUGUACUAACUUUAGAACAAAGUUGACUCACUUCUGAGUCACUUAUUUUGGGACGGAGGGAGUACAUG